CGCCAAGGGAAAGUGGUCAGAGCCAACGCCUGUUUGCAAGGUUAUCACCUGUGAACCUCCUGUCAUAUCCAACGGACAUGUAUCAGUCACCAAAGAAGCGGUGUACGGGUCAACUGUAACCUAUCAUUGUAACCAAGGCUUUGUUCUGGAUGGUAAAGGAAGCUCCAAGUGUAGUCAAAAUGGAACUGACAAUGUUUAUGGGAAAUGGACUGACCAGUCGCCUGUGUGUAAAGCCAUAAGUUGCGACACACCAUUAAUACUUAAUGGACAAGUAAUAGCGGGUGGUCAAAUUACCCAUGGCACGACAGUGAGCAUUAGAUGCGACGAAGGCUUCAUUCUCGUAGGAAAGACAAAUUCUACGUGUGUUCAUGAAGAUCCUAGCAGCGCCAAGGGAAAGUGGUCAGAG